rnacentral:rRNA from 1 species
UCAGCAGCCGCGGUAAUACGGAGGGUGCGAGCGUUGUCCGGAAUCACUGGGCGUAAAGGGCGCGUAGGUGGCGCGAGUAGUCAACGGUGAAAGCCCGGGGCUCAACCCCGGGUCGGCCGUCGAUACUCUCGUGCUUGAGCACUGUAGAGGCAGGUGGAAUUCCGGGUGUAGCGGUGGAAUGCGUAGAGAUCCGGAAGAACACCGGUGGCGAAGGCGGCCUGCUGGGCAGUAGCUGACACUGAGGCGCGACAGCGUGGGGAGCAAACAGGAUUAGAUACCCUGGUAGUCCACGCCGUAAACGAUGGGCACUAGAUGCUUGGGGGAGCGACCCUCUGAGUGUCGUCGCUAACGCAUUAAGUGCCCCGCCUGGGGAGUACGGCCGCAAGGCUGAAACUCAAAGGAAUUGACGGGGGCCCGCACA